ACGCACGCUGGCGGCGUGCUUAACACAUGCAAGUCGAACGGAAAGGCCCUGCUUUUGUGGGGUGCUCGAGUGGCGAACGGGUGAGUAACACGUGAGUAACCUGCCCUUGACUUUGGGAUAACUUCAGGAAACUGGGGCUAAUACCGGAUAGGAGCUCCUGCUGCAUGGUGGGGGUUGGAAAGUUUCGGCGGUUGGGGAUGGACUCGCGGCUUAUCAGCUUGUUGGUGGGGUAGUGGCUUACCAAGGCUUUGACGGGUAGCCGGCCUGAGAGGGUGACCUGCCACAUUGGGACUGAGAUACGGCCCAGACUCCUACGGGAGGCAGCAGUGGGGAAUAUUGCACAAUGGGCGGAAGCCUGAUGCAGCAACGCCGCGUGCGGGAUGACGGCCUUCGGGUUGUAAACCGCUUUCGCCUGUGACGAAGCGUGAGUGACGGUAAUGGGUAAAGAAGCACCGGCUAACUACGUG
rnacentral:rRNA from 1 species